GAUUUAGUUGUGUAUGCAUUUGAAUUUGUGAAUUCUGAAUUUAUCUUUUUGGGUGGUUGUGGUGGUUUUUACAUGAGAGAGCUACUCUUUUGUGUUUAACUUGGCAUCAAGUAUCUUCGUAUGAAUUUCAGUUACACAUUUGAAUCGAUUUGUUGAGAUGUCAAAUUUCCCGGUAGAAAGUCCAAUUGACAAUACUAAUAAAAGAUUUAGCUAUCAUCCCAUGGAUGCUUUCCAGUGGGACUCUCUGACUUGGCGACAUACAUCGAACUACUAGGAUAAGGGAAUACCCAUUUGGACUUUGCUUCAAAAUGAAGCUUUGAAGAUUUACCACUUUCCAAAAUCAUCCUACAAUAACAUUCAUACUUUCUGUUAUCAAACUGAGAAAAUUGCGCGGGCAUUUCUCCUCGCAGUUUUCAAAUGCCCUGGGAAUUUGACAAUGGAGACAACCGGACAAUCAACUGUCAUUUUGGACAGUUUGACUCUUGAUUUCCCAGUCACCUAACCCGUCUUAAUACUAUAGUCAUGCUUACAUUUUCUUUACAUUGCACAACAACUAUGUCUUUUUGGAACUUUUUCCAUAUGUUCUGUUGGAUGUCUUGACAACGCAUCAGUUUGGAGUCUGUUGUUUCAGACUUCCCAAUUUACACACAUGUAGAGAUGGAAUUAGUUGUCGAUAAGAAGAUUAGUUAUAGAAAUUGUCUGUGAAUAUUCAUCUUGUGGUUCUUUUCUAUUGUUUUUGCCCUUUGUAAAUUGUGUUCGUUGUUAUUUGUCUGCUUAUCUUGAUUUCUUAUUUGCACCUGCAGAGGCUUCACAACUUCUCAAUUGGUAAAUUUCUAAAGACUUGCACUGCUCAUUCUCCGGAGAAACCUUUUGAUUCAGACAAUUUGCUUCUAAACUUUGGGAUUGUUAACCUCUUGUGCUUCGCAAAUAUCUCCAAAAUCAGAGAACUACCACAGCCAACAGUUGCCAGCACAUAAAUGCUCACUCAACAAGCAACAAACUCAGAAUUGUCAAAAUAGUGAACUUACCGACAUCAGAUCACAAGGUUGAGUAUGUAAAUGUACAAGGUAUCAUUGACGUUGCUGACUUCAACCAAAAAUUCAUAUGCUUCGUCUGUUCGAUCUGUAAUAAGAGCACAAAUGCAUAUGGAAAUGGUGACUUUUGGUGCGACUAUUGCAAUCAAAAAGUAGCGACACUUCCCGGGUACAUUUAUUGCAACUGUAUUCACAGAAAAAGCAGAAGCUCUGUAUGAUGUUACUGCAACAGAACUCACCCAACAUGCAGCGAGCGUAAGCUACCAAAAAUCUAAUCCAUCUUUCCCUCAAUAUUUACAGCACAUACACGAACUACCACUAAUCCAAACAAAUACAUAGGGAAAUCUGCCAAUAGCAUUGAUUGAAAAGCUAUCCCGCCCAAAAAAGGGUUGCGUCAGUUUGAAGGCCUACAUGUAUCGCUAUGGAGGAAUCAACCGGUGUAUUUUCACUGUGAAGUCAAUCUCUGACCCAAUUGAUGCUCACGAACCUCUGCAGCAUGGAUACUCGAACAGUGAGAGAGUUUAUGACUGCUUCUAAAUAGUGAAUACUGAUCAAUUGCUACUGCUUUUGAGUUCUUGUCUAAGGGCUAAUCUUAGAACUUUUUGGGAAAACAAUAAAGCUCUUAUUUUCAGCUGAUGAUGUAUCUGCAGUAAGCAGAUUUGUACGUAUUUAAGGAGUUAUAUUAUCCAUUUGAAGAUGAUAGUGGGCAAUACGAAACUUUUACUACUAAUGGGCAAUCUUUGAACAUAAUAGUGGGCAAUGUAGUGCGCAAGCUUUUGACUUCUUGUCAAGAUGAUGAAUUUUUGUUUGCUACUCCCUCCGUCCCUAUUAAU